UGCAGCCUUGUCAAAUUCAGUGCUUCCUCCUUCGUGGAUGCCACUGGCCAAAAUGGCUGCUACAGUGAAGGUGUAGCUCAUGGGCCCCACGGUGCUUCACAGUAACCUCUGGGGAUAAAUAUAUACUGCACACAAAC
rnacentral:snoRNA from 1 species